UACGUAGGGUGCAAGCGUUAAUCGGAAUUACUGGGCGUAAAGCGUGCGCAGGCGGUUAUGUAAGACAGGUGUGAAAUCCCCGGGCUUAACCUGGGAACUGCAUUUGUGACUGCAUAGCUAGAGUACGGUAGAGGGGGAUGGAAUUCCGCGUGUAGCAGUGAAAUGCGUAGAUAUGCGGAGGAACACCGAUGGCGAAGGCAAUCCCCUGGACCUGUACUGACGCUCAUGCACGAAGGCUAGGGUAGCAAACGGG
rnacentral:rRNA from 1 species